CACGUAGAUAACCUGCCCAAUAGUGGGGAAUAACACCCCUGAAAGGGGUGGCUAAUACCGCAUAAGCUCUCACUUGCUAGGGUGAGAGGAAACGGAGCCUGUGAAAGGGUUGCGGCUAAAGGAUGGGUCUGCGGCGGAUUAGCUAGUUGGUAGGGUAAGAGCCUACCAAGGCGACGAUCCGUAGCUGGUCUGAGAGGACGGCCAGCCACACUGGGACUGAGACACGGCCCAG
rnacentral:rRNA from 1 species